CAGGUGUUUUGACCAAACCCCUGCAAGAAAACCUGGAGAUUUCUUGGAAGAAUACAUUGAUUGUUAGGAGGAAGGCGGACACUGAGCCAGCGGCCAGCAGGGAACCCAUCACAAUUUUCUGCCUCCCCUCAGAGAGUGUUUUGCACCAGAAGAAGCCCCCUGAUUGAUCUCAAGGUCUUCAAUCAUGUAUCCAUCCCCCUGCCCAACCCAGAGUCAUGUUCAUGUAACUAGUAUUUACAAGAUUGUCCGUCUUGGGCCAGG